rnacentral:rRNA from 1 species
GAGGAAAGCUGGCGGCGUGCCUAAUACAUGCAAGUCGAGCGAACAGACGAGGAGCUUGCUCCUCUGACGUUAGCGGCGGACGGGUGAGUAACACGUGGAUAACCUACCUAUAAGACUGGGUUAACUUCGGGAAACCGGAGCUAAUACCGGAUAAUAUAUUGAACCGCAUGGUUCAAUAGUGAAAGACGGUUUUGCUGUCACUUAUAGAUGGAUCCGCGCCGCAUUAGCUAGUUGGUAAGGUAACGGCUUACCAAGGCAACGAUGCGUAGCCGACCUGAGAGGGUGAUCGGCCACACUGGAACUGAGACACGGUCCAGACUCCUACGGGAGGCAGCAGUAGGGAAUCUUCCGCAAUGGGCGAAAGCCUGACGGAGCAACGCCGCGUGAGUGAUGAAGGUCUUCGGAUCGUAAAACUCUGUUAUUAGGGAAGAACAAAUGUGUAAGUAACUAUGCACGUCUUGACGGUACCUAAUCAGAAAGCCACGGCUAACUACGUG